GACGGAGGAUGCAAGCGUUAUCCGGAAUGAUUGGGCGUAAAGCGUCCGCAGGUGGCAGUUCAAGUCUGCUGUCAAAGACCGGGGCUUAACUUCGGAAAGGCAGUGGAAACUGAACAGCUAGAGUAUGGUAGGGGCAGAGGGAAUUCCUGGUGUAGCGGUGAAAUGCGCAGAUAUCAGGAGGAACACCGAUGGCGAAGGCGGGUCUCUGGGCAACAACUGACGCUGAGGAGCGAAAGCGUGGGGAGCAAACAGG
rnacentral:rRNA from 1 species